rnacentral:rRNA from 1 species
UACAGAGGGUGCGAGCGUUGUCCGGAAUUACUGGGCGUAAAGUGUGCGCAGGCGGCUCCGCAAGUCGAGUGUGAAAGCCCCGAGCUUAACUUGGGAAUUGCGCUCGAAACUACGGAGCUGGAGUGUGGCAGAGGAAGGUGGAAUUCCACGUGUAGCGGUGAAAUGCGUAGAGAUGUGGAGGAACACCGAUGGCGAAGGCAGCCUUCUGGGCCAACACUGACGCUCAUGCACGAAAGCGUGGGGAGCAAACAGG